CCUAUAGAUAACUAAGAUAUUGAUUUUAUAGUUAGAUUGAUUUUGGCGAAAGACAAUCAUAGGUCAUCAAUUAACCCUACACAUCCAAUCGUACUGCCUAAUUCGGUGUUUGUUGAAAAUUAGCGACAGACCGCGAUAUGCCCGUUGAGUGGGAUAGGUCCACCGCUGGGAAUAGUUGGCUCACUCAACGGACAUCGGUGCCGAGAGAAAUGCCACCACCACUCAAAGAUACGGGUAUCGGUAUCGGGAGAAAUUCAGCCACCGAGGAACUCUCAGUCGGAGUAAGGAUGAAUUAUGCGUAACACCUCGCUACUGCCACCAUUGGUACCCCACGACUAUUGGAACAUCGACCCUAGGCAUAACACGGUUCUGCGUUGUUAAUUGGAAGAUGUGCAUUGCAUACGCACAGCAUUGAAGUCAAACAGCAACGAGUCGACAUCGAAGGGUCAUUUAGAUCGUAGUGGGACCGCAGCCGCUCAUCCAGCGGUGGUCAGCAGAAGUGCCGCAGCUAGGUGACGUUCUGGAGCCCAUGACAGGUGACCGAAGAACCACUUAAAUUAUCUUUAAAAAGUAUAUAAAGCACAAUCGAUUGAGAAUUCAUCACGGCUGAACGUUAAAAGACGAUCGAUUGUGGGAGAGCCCUUGCCGCCUCGGGCGAAUCCUACUAUCUACGGAUGUCAUCGUCCUCGUCAUCUCAUCAGCACAAGACAAGUGCAUAACAGGUCGCUCUGCUACCGGGGAACCUAAGGCGGCAACCAUCGGCCCUGACCUGAUAUAGGCGCACUUCGAGCAGAGCUGAUCUGGUGGGACCAUUUUUCGAUUCGCGCUGGUUUAGGUGAACCGUUACUUCUAAAUUCUGUGCCGUUUAAAUUGAUCUUCUCUGACAUUUUCAGCCUUUGUUCCACUGAAAGGCUCACUGUGGGGGCGAAUCAGAUGGAAUGACUUGGCGGUCGAGGGAGGUAGCUGCAGACUGGCUGAUCAGAAAUUUGAAGCUAUUUUAAUGAGUUUCAGCAUUCUUUCAUUUUAGCCAUUUCGAGACGGUGUUUAAAUCGGUAGAUUAUUUAGAGUAGUGUUGGCACCAUCUAUGCGGCCACAGGUGGAACUAAAAUUUUCUAACCAAGACAUAACUCGUAUUGUGUACUACAAUUCUUCCAAACACACUAUUCAGCUAAAUCUAACCAUUAUUCCAAAAAAAUGGUUAGUUCGUUGGAUUCUAGUACUGAUACAUAACCAUGCACUGAUAAGCAGUAUAUAACAAAUUAUCGAAACAUAACCUCUUUCUGUACGGGUUCCAAACUGUUCGAAAUUUUAGUAAACAAUGUGUUAUUCCGGGAAACCAAAACGUAUAUAUCGACCAGGCCCGUGUGGAAGGGUAGGGUUUUGGGGGUUCAAAACCCUUCCAUGCGGGUUUUCAAUUAUUGAAAAUGAAAUUUAUUAACUUCCUGUUUAGGCAAAAGCCAUUUGGCCACAAAAUGUCACUCUAGGAACAAUUCGUUGAGGAAACGAAGGGGGUGGAUAUUAGUAACAAUUGUGAGUAGACCAAUUACACAACAAAGGUCAGUCAGAGGACUAGCAACGGGAGCAAAGGAGGAAAAACAAGACAAGGGAGAAAAGAAAGACAUCGUUGUCUCCUGCCGAUGAUUUUUACGUCGGAAUGGCUGAUAGCUAAAUGACUCGCGAAAAUAGGCAGCGAUAUCGGGAAAAAAAACCGCCGCCGAGGAACUCUCAGCACCAGCUAGCACAUAAAAAGGAACGAGUAGCACCAAGAAGGAUAUGAAACGCCACGAAAGUAGUUGUAAAGAAAUAUAAAGCAUUAUGGUCGCCACCAACAGUGACCCCAGAUG